rnacentral:rRNA from 1 species
UACGUAGGGGGCAAGCGUUGUCCGGAUUUAUUGGGCGUAAAGAGCGUGUAGGCGGUUUUACAGGUCCGCUGUGAAACUCGAGGCUCAACCUCGAGCUGUCGGUGGAAACCGUAAGGCUAGAGUCCGGAAGAGGAGAGUGGAAUUCCUGGUGUAGCGGUGAAAUGCGCAGAUAUCGGAAGGAAGAACCAGCCCGUAGGCGGCAAGGCUGGCAUC